rnacentral:siRNA from 1 species
UGGUGUUUAGCCUUGGAGAUGCCC